CUAAGUAAACAAAGUGCCUCGGCAUGCCAGCUGCUUACCCUGACAGGCAGGACAGCAACUAGUGGGGAAAUUUUGGUGGGGGGAGAACCUGGGAGUCAGGGGAGUAACCCCUGACUAUGACUCUAUCC